rnacentral:rRNA from 1 species
GAUGAACGCUAGCGGCAGGCUUAACACAUGCAAGUCGAGGGGCAGCACGUCUUCGGAUGGUGGCGACCGGCGCACGGGUGCGUAACGCGUAUACAACCUACCUUAUAGGGGGGAAUAGCCCAGAGAAAUUUGGAUUAAUGCCCCAUAGUAUUAUUGAAUAGCAUUAUUUGAUGAUUAAACAUUUAUGGCUAUAAGAUGGGUAUGCGUUCUAUUAGCUAGAUGGUAAGGUAACGGCUUACCAUGGCGACGAUAGAUAGGGGUCCUGAGAGGGAGAUCCCCCACACUGGUACUGAGACACGGACCAGACUCCUACGGGAGGCAGCAGUGAGGAAUAUUGGACAAUGGGCGAGAGCCUGAUCCAGCCAUGCUGCGUGCAGGAAGACGGCCCUAUGGGUUGUAAACUGCUUUUAUACGGGAAGAAACACUCCUUCGUGAAGGAGCUUGACGGUACCGUAAGAAUAAGGAUCGGCUAACUCCGUGCCAGCAGCCGAC